AGUGAACGCUGGCGGUAGGCCUAACACAUGCAAGUCGAACGGCAGCACAGUAAGAGCUUGCUCUUACGGGUGGCGAGUGGCGGACGGGUGAGGAAUACAUCGGAAUCUACUUUUUCGUGGGGGAUAACGUAGGGAAACUUACGUUAAUACUGCAUACGACCUACGGGUGAAAGCAGGGGAUCUUCGGACCUUGUGCGAUUGAAUGAGCCGAUGUCGGAUUAGCUAGUUGGCGGGUUAAAGGCCCACCAAGGCGACGAUCCGUAGCUGGUCUGAGUGGAUGAUCAGCCACACUGGAACUGAGACACGGUCCAGACUCCUACGGGAGGCAGCAGUGGGGAAUAUUGGACAAUGGGCGCAAGCCUGAUCCAGCCAUACCGCGUGGGUGAAGAAGGCCUUCGGGUUGGAAAGCCCUUUUGUUGGGAAAGAAAAGCAGCAGGUUAAGACCCCGCUGUUCUGACGGUACCCAAAGAAUAAGCACCGGCUAACUUCGUG
rnacentral:rRNA from 1 species